UAAGCAUAUCAAUAAGCGGAGGAAAAGAAACCAACAGGGAUUGCCUUAGUAACGGCGAGUGAAGCGGCAACAGCUCAAAUUUGAAAUCUGGCCCUCGGGUCCGAAUUGUAAUUUGUAGAGGAUGAUUUUGGUGCGGUAUCUUCCGAGUUCCUUGGAACAGGACGCCUUAGAGGGUGAGAGCCCCGUACGGUUGAAUGCCUAGCCUCUGUAAAUCUCCUUCGACGAGUCGAGUAGUUUGGGAAUGCUGCUCUAAAUGGGAGGUAAAUUUCUUCUAAAGCUAAAUAUUGGCCAGAGACCGAUAGCGCACAAGUAGAGUGAUCGAAAGAUGAAAAGCACUUUGAAAAGAGGGUUAAAUAGCACGUGAAAUUGUUGAAAGGGAAGGAUUUGUGACCAGACUUUUUCUGGGCGGAUCAUCCGGGGUUCUCUCCGGUGCACUUUGCCCAGUAAAGGCCAGCAUCGAUUUUCGGCGGCGGAUAAAAGCAGUGGGAAUGUGGCUCCCCUCGGGGAGUGUUAUAGCCCAUUGUAUAAUACGCUGCUGGGGAUCGAGGUACGCGCUUCUGCAAGGAUGCUGGCGUAAUGGUUAUCAAUCACCCGUCUUGAAACACGGACCAAGGAGUCGAACAUUUAUGCGAGUGUUUGGGUGUUAAACCCUCACGCGUAAUGAAAGUGAACGGAGGUGAGAGCCCGUACGGGUGCAUCAUCGACCGAUCCUGAAGUUUUCGGAUGGAUUUGAGUAAGAGCAUAACUGUUCGGACCCGAAAGAUGGUGAACUAUGCGUGGAUAGGGUGAAGCCAGAGGAAACUCUGGUGGAGGCUCGCAGCGGUUCUGACGUGCAAAUCGAUCGUCAAAUCUGCGCAUGGGGCGAAAGA
rnacentral:rRNA from 1 species